CACGGCCGCCGCCGGGCGCC
rnacentral:miRNA from 1 species